GACGAACGCUGGCGGCGUGCUUAACACAUGCCAGUCGAACGGAAAGGCCUCUUUCGGGGGGUACUCGAGUGGCGAACGGGUGAGUAACACGUGAGUAACCUGCCCUUGACUUUGGGAUAACUUCAGGAAACUGGGGCUAAUACCGGAUAGGAGCUCCUGCUGCAUGGUGGGGGUUGGAAAGUUUCGGCGGUUGGGGAUGGACUCGCGGCUUAUCAGCUUGUUGGUGGGGUAGUGGCUUACCAAGGCUUUGACGGGUAGCCGGCCUGAGAGGGUGACCGGCCACAGUGGGACUGAGAGACGGCCCAGACUCCUACGGGAGGCAGCAGUGGGGAAUAUUGCACAAUGGGUGGAAGCCUGAUGCAGCAACGCCGUGUGCGGGAUGACGGCCUUCGGGUUGUAAACCGCUUUCGCUCAUGACGAAGCUUUGUGUGACGGUAGUGGGUAAAGAAGCACCGGCUAACUACGUG
rnacentral:rRNA from 1 species